CCUAUUCCCCUUUGUGGCCGCCACCCCCCUCUCUCUCCCUCUCCUUCUUCCCCAAGUGAUUGCAGCACCACCCCUCAACCCUAGCCCCCCCCUCCUCCUCUCCAUGGUGCAUCCUCCCCGCUUGGUACCCCGUCGUGUGGGUGCGAGUCUUCCAUUGGAGUUUGGAGGGAGGAAGAAGGAAGAAUGGAAGGAGGAAAGGAGGAACCCAAGGUGAUUUUAAGAUCAUUCUUUUUAGUAUUUGUGCUGCAAUCCAAUUGUUUACAUGUUUACCUAUGCGAAUCGGUAUAGGUGCUGUCCAGAUUUUUGUGGGAGAACGAACAGCAGUAGUUCUAGGGAUUUCUGGGAAUUUUUCGUGGGCAAUUAGUGGGGAUCAGUGGGAGAAUCAUAUAGAUCUUUGUCAUACCUUUCCAACGAGUACUUAUGCGCUCGAUUCGGAGUUAUAAUUUAGGAGAUAUCGUUGUUUGAAUCCGGUUAUGUUGCUGUCCAAAAAAAGAUAUUUUCAGGUGAAUGAACAGCAGUAGUAUUAGCAGUUUCUGGGGAUUUUUCGUGGGAAAUUAGUGAUAAUAAAUAUGAGAAUCAUGUAGAUCUUUGUCAUACCUUUCCAACGAGUACUUAUGCGCUCGAUUCGGAGUUAUAUUUUAGGAGAUAUCGUUGUUUGAAUCCGGUUAUGUUGCUGUCCAAAAAAAACAGAUUUUUCAGGUGGGUGAACAGCAGUAGUAUUAGCAGUUUCUGUGAAUUUUUCGUGGGUAAUUAGUGUUAACCAGUAUGAUAAUCAUGUAGGGAUUUGUCUUAUCUUUCUAAUGAGUACUUAUGCGCUUGAUUUGGAAUUAUAUUUUAAAAGAUAUCGCUGUUUGAAUCCGGGUAUGUCGCUGUCCAAAAGACAAAAAACAGAUUACAGGGUUCAUCUUGUGGACUGUUUUGGGCUAAUUAGAUAUUAGAAUUUAAUUAUAAAUUGUAUACAAAACUUGUGGGGCAUUUUAUGUAGAUGCCUCUGGAGUUUUUGUUUGUUACCACUGUUGUCAUAAUUUUAAAGUUAUGAAAUUAUUAAGCAGCGCCGCUGCAGUUUGGUGGGUGUGGGGAGAGAUGUAACCGCGGCGGGGUUUGAGUUUGUGCGUAGGUGCGGCGGGCUUUAUGAGCCUGAUUAUGUGAAAUAGGUGCACUAAGUUGUGUGUCAAAAACAGGUGGUGGACUUCCGGAUCGUACUUAGGGAUUUGCCCGAACUUCCGGUAAAGGCAAGUAAAUAUAGUGGUGGUUGCUACCGUUUGGUUUGCAUCCUAUUCCCUGUCAUUGAGUAUGCAUAAGUUUUUAAUUAUGUUAAUCAUUGAAUUCUAUGAUGAAGUUUAUUUGUUUUUUUGAAUCACGUUAUAUGAAGUGUUGUAGGCAUGACAUGCACAUCGCAUCAUCCAUCUUGCAUUUUGAAGUUAUGUCGUGAUCUUAUGGUCCGACCGUACCGGUACAUUUUUAGCAUCGUACGUUGCCCGAGGAGGGGUACGAUGCGGCUUCAUAUCCUUAGAGGUAUGAAGGCAGAAGUCAUCCUUGCAUUUGCAGACAUUUGCAUUCAUGAGGAAUAUAUGAAGUGUGACAUUACUAUGUUACUAUUGUGGUUUCUACCUACGAGGUGUGGUAACUAGGUGUGUUGUACGUUGUAUACGUGCUGCAUCUUGGUAAUAAGAAGGUUGUGGAAUCAGGUGGUGGUAAAACAAUGUUCUUAUGUGGUUGAAUAGUUUGAUAUUAUUUUACUUGCUGAGAUGUGUCAUCUCACUCUUGCAUUACUCAAUGCAGGUACUUGAUACAUGUUGGGAAUGAGGGGAGUAGCAGCACGUCCACUUACACUCUCACAAUAACGCUGCCCAGGCGCAGCCAUGAUUUAAUUAGAAACUUAUUGUCAAAGGAAGUUUGUUUUUUUUAUAUAGUCGUGCGCACUGGUUAAUUCAGUUCAGGUCGUACGUUU
rnacentral:lncRNA from 1 species